rnacentral:rRNA from 1 species
GACGAACGCUGGCGGCAUGCCUAACACAUGCAAGUCGAACGGAGAUUAUUUCGGUAAUCUUAGUGGCGAACGGGUGAGUAACGCGUGGGCAACCUGCCCUCUAGAUGGGGACAACAUCCCGAAAGGGGUGCUCAUACCGAAUGUGACAGCAAUCUCGCAUGAGGAUGCUGUGAAAGAUGGCCUCUAUUUAUAAGCUAUCGCUAGAGGAUGGGCCUGCGUCUGAUUAGCUAGUUGGUGGGGUAACGGCCUACCAAGGCGAUGAUCAGUAGCCGGUCUGAGAGGAUGAACGGCCACAUUGGGACUGAGACACGGCCCAGACUCCUACGGGAGGCAGCAGUGGGGAAUCUUCCGCAAUGGGCGAAAGCCUGACGGAGCAAUGCCGCGUGAGUGAUGAAGGAAUUCGUUCCGUAAAGCUCUUUUGUUUAUGACGAAUGUGCAGAUUGUGAACAAUGAUCUGUAAUGACGGUAGUAAACGAAUAAGCCACGGCUAACUACGUG